GACGAACCGUCCUAACGUUGUUCGGAAUCAUUGGGCGUAAAGAGCGCGUAGGCGGCCAGAUAAGUCCGGUGUGAAAGUCACAGGCUCAACCUGUGAAUGCCGCUGGAAACUGUCUGGCUAGAGUCCGGAAGGGGCGAGUGGAAUUCCUGGUGUAGCGGUGAAAUGCGCAGAUAUCAGGAGGAACACCAAUGGCGAAGGCAGCUCGCUGGGACGGUACUGACGCUGAGGCGCGAAAGCGUGGGGAGCGAACAGG
rnacentral:rRNA from 1 species